AGUGAACGCUGGCGGUAGGCCUAACACAUGCAAGUCGAACGGCAGCACAGUAAGAGCUUGCUCUUACGGGUGGCGAGUGGCGGACGGGUGAGGAAUACAUCGGAAUCUACUUUUUCGUGGGGGAUAACGUAGGGAAACUUACGCUAAUACCGCAUACGACCUACGGGUGAAAGCAGGGGAUCUUCGGACCUUGCGCGAUUGAAUGAGCCGAUGUCGGAUUAGCUAGUUGGCGGGGUAAAGGCCCACCAAGGCGACGAUCCGUAGCUGGUCUGAGAGGAUGAUCAGCCACACUGGAACUGAGACACGGUCCAGACUCCUACGGGAGGCAGCAGUGGGGAAUAUUGGCAAUGGGCGCAAGCCUGAUCCAGCCAUACCGCGUGGGUGAAGAAGGCCUUCGGGUUGUAAAGCCCUUUUGUUGGGAAAGAAAAGCAGCAGGUUAAUACCCCGCUGUUCUGACGGUACCCAAAGAAUAAGCACCGGCUAACUUCGUG
rnacentral:rRNA from 1 species